GAUGAACGCUGGCGGCGUGCUUAACACAUGCAAGUCGAACGGUGAACCUCUUCGGAGGGGCUCAGUGGCGAACGGGUGAGUAACACGUGGGCAACCUGCUCCCGGCUCUGGGAUAACUCCAAGAAAUCGGGGCUAAUAUCCGAUGUUCACCGCUUCUCGUAUGGGGGGUGGUGGAAAGGGUUUACGGCUGUGGAUGGGCCCGCGGCCUAUCAGCUUGUUGGUGAAGUAGUGGCCUACCAAGGCGACGAUGGGUAGCCGGCCUGAGAGGGUGACCGGCCACACUGCUACUGCGGCACGGCCCAGACUCCUACGGGAGGCAGCGGUGGGAAGUAUUGCGCAGUGGGCGGACGCCAGACGCAGCGACGCCGCGUGGGGGAUGACGGCCUUCUAGUUAUAAACCUCUGUCUACAGAGACGAAGCGCAAGUGACGGUACCUGCAGAGGAAGCACCGGCCAACUACGUG
rnacentral:rRNA from 1 species